AGCCCGGUAGUGUAGUGGUCAAAUUCUCUAAAUAAAAAUUUUAUUUAUAGAAGACUAAGCAUCCAAGGCUUUGGACCUUGAGACCCAGGUUCGAAUCCUGGCCGGGCUA
rnacentral:tRNA from 1 species